UAUUAUUAUUGUUCAAAGAGAUCCUUUUCAAAUUUAGCAUAAUACCUAUAUUUUUUAAAGUUCUCAAAAUCUUUCACUUUAGUCCAAAAUAUUGAAAAUAUGAGAUUUUCCUCAGGCGGUUAGCCGCUUCUUCUUUGUCCAAUUUUGGAUUUCAAGUGUUUAGAUUACAUUUAGGUCCUCAAACUUUCAUAAAUUAUAGUAUGCCCCAAAAUGUUUCAAACCUUUGCAAAUAAGUCCAAAUCUGAAUUUCAAAAUAAUAUUUAUUAAACUCAAAGAUUACAAAACUUUUUCAUUUUAAUCCAAAUUAGUCAAAUCCACAAAACACCUUAUCUUAUAAAUAUAAAACCUUUUAGUUUAUAAAAAAUAAUUAUUAAAUUAAUCUCUUGAGCUUCUCAAAUGUUAAAUCAUGCAUCAAUUAAAUCAUACCGGCUUUACAAGAAUUUAUCGCACUAAUUUGUUCGUUGAGCUCUAAACUUUAUUCUUGAUUUCGCGGUUGUCUGUUGAGUGUCUUGAGCUUGAUUCACUUGUAUAAAUAUUACCCUUAAAAAACUAGUGAAAAUGUUAUAUACAAUAUCUAUUAAAUCACUUAAUACAUAUGUUUGUUAUUAUCAAAAUUACAUUAUGUAUAACCAUUUAGGCUAACAAGAGGCACAGCAGAAAAGGCUUGAGGAGCUGAAGUUCAAAGACCUAAAGGUGAAAAUUUACCUUUUCCAAGCAUUCGACAGAACCAUUCUGGAGACUAUAUCAGAAAAAGACGCCUCAAAGAAGAUAUGGGACUUGAUGAACAAGAAAUAUGAAAGCAAUUCUAGGGUGAAGCGCUCGAUUCUUCAGGAACUAAGGAAGGAUUUUGAAACUCUAGAGAUGAAGAUAGGUGAAAGCAUUACUGAUUAUUUUGCUCGAGUUAUGUCAGUUGCUAGCAAAAUGAGGGCAUAUGGAGAGCAAAUGAAAAAUGUUGCGAUUGUGGAAAAGAUUCUUAGAUCUUUGACUGACAAAUUUAACUAUAUAGUUUGCGCGAUCGAGGAAUCUAAGGAUGUCGAUGUACUAACCAUUGAUGAACUGCAAAGUUCACUCAUUAUACAUGAACAAAAACUCUACAGGAGCAAUGGAGAGGAACAAGCUCUAAAGGUGACUGUUGAUGAAAGAAUUGGAGGAAGAGGUCGUGGAAGAGGCAAUUUUAGAGGAAGAAGGGGUCGAGCCUUCGAUAAAGCCAUAAUUGAGUGUUAUAAGUGCCACAAGCUUGGCCAUUUUAAGUAUGAAUGUCCAACCUGGGACAAGGAGGCAAACUAUACAAAAUCAGAUGAGCAAGAAGAGAUGCUAUUAAUGUCUUACAUGGAGAUGCAUGAAGCCAAACAAAAGGAUGCCUGGUUCUUGGACUCGGGGUGCUAAAAUCACAUGUGUGGAGAUAUGAGUAUGUUUAGUGAGCUGAAUGAGAGUUUUACACAGCAAGUGAAGCUUGGAAACAACACCAAAAUGACAGUGCUUGGUAGAGGAAAUGUCAGACUACACUUGAAUGGUAUUAACCAUGUCAUUUCAGAGGUUUUCUAUGUUCCAAAAUUGAAGAACAACCUCCUCAGUGUGGAACAACUACAUGAAAAAGGACUUGCAAUCCUAAUCCAAAUGGGAAUGUGCAAGAUCUACCAUCUAGACAAGGGUUUGAUCAUUCAAACUAAUAUGACAGCUAAUAGAAUGUUAAUCCUAAUAGCCAAUAUGCAAGAAAAGAAAGUUUCUUGUUUCCACACAAGCUCACAAGACCUCUCUCACUUAUGGCGCUGUAGAUAUGGAUGUUUGAGCCACAAAGGUCUAAAAAUCUUGCAAACUAAGAACACGGUACGUGGUCUGCCAAAUCUCCCUGCAAGCACAGUGGUUUGCACUGAUCAUUUAAUUGGCAAGCAGCAUCGAGAUCCCAUUCGCAAGAAGAGUGCAUGGAGGGCUACCAAAAAGCUACACCUCAUCCAUGUGGAUAUUUGUGGUCCUAUCACUCCUGCAUCUAAUAGCAACAAGAGGUACAUUUUGUUAUUCAUUGAUUAUAGUAGUAGAAAAGCAUGGGUGUAUUUGUUGGUAGAAAAGUUAGAGGCUUUAAUUUUUUUUAAAUGCUUUAAGACUAUGGUUGAGAAAAAGACAGGGUUGUUUGUUAAGUGUUUAUGCACUAAUAAAGGAGGAGAAUUCAAUUCAAGUGAGUUCAAUGAUUUUUGCAAACAAAGUGGGAUCAAGAGACAGUUGACCACCGCUUACACCGGAGGAGGCUUGAAGUGGGGUCAAACCCUCAGUAUAUCAUUUUUGGAUCUUUGGUUGCAUAGCACGUAUCCAUGUUCCAGAAGCAAAGAGGACUAAACUUGAUAGUGGAAGCAUUACUUGUGUGCUAUUGGGAGUUAGUGAGGAAUCAAAAGGUUAUGGGUUAUUUGAUCCUGUAGUUAAGAAAGUUGUUGUGAUUAGAGAUGUAGUUUUUGAAGAAGAAAAGCAAUGUGAUUGGGAUGUGAGUAAUGAAAAACAAAUAGUAAUAGAUUUAGAGCGGGGUGAUGGUGAUGGUGAUGGUGAGUAUGACGAGGGGGUGAGUGAAAAUUUGAAUGGUGAUGAUAUUGAUGCAGAGGUAGGAGAGACUUGUGAUGAGGGGGUUAGAGAAGAGGAAAAUGGCUCUCGUGAGGGUGAAGAAAGAGUGAGAGAAUUAAGGCAAUCUCGUGAGAGGCAGCCUCCUAUAUAGAUGGGUGAUUAUGUUAGUGGAAAAGGUUUGUCUAAUGAUGAAAUUCAUAUAGCACUAGUGGUAUCAACAGAUCCAUUGUAUUUUGAGGAUGCGGUUAAGAGUACAAAUUGGAGAUUGGCCAUGGAUAGUGAAAUCAAAUCCAUCGAGAAGAACAAACAUGGACACUUACUGAACUAUCAACUGGAGCUAAAAAAAAUGUGGUGAAGUGGGUUUACAAAACCAAAUACAAUGAGCAAGGAAAGGUUGAUAAAUACAAGGCUCGUUUGGUUGCUAAAUGGUACUCUCAGAAGCAUAGAGCGGACUAUAUAGAAGUUUUUGCACUAGCAGCGAGGAUGGAUACAGUGAGGAUGAUUAUCUCUCUAGUUGCACAGAAGGAUUUGAAGAUUUUCCAGCUGGAUGUAAAAUCGACUUUUCUCCAUGGUAAGCUGAGUGAAGAUGUUUAUGUGGAGCAGCUAAGAGGAUAUGAAAAAAAAAGGCGGUGAGCAUCUCAUUUACAAGUUACACAAAGCUCUAUAUGGAUUAAAACAAGCUCCCCGAGCUUGGUUUAGUUGAAUUGAAGCACAUUUCAUCAGUGAAGGGUUUCGGCGGUGCGAUAGCGAGCAAACAUUAUUCACAAAGAGAAGUAAGGAAGGAAAAAUUAUCAUUGUAAGUGUUUAUGUUGAUGAUUUAGCUUUUACUGGUGAUGAUGAAGUUAUGAUGUCUGAAUUUAAAAGUUCCAUGUUAAGAGGUUUGAUAUAUCCGACCUGGGGAAGAUGAGGUUUUUUCUUGGGAUUGAAGUGCUACAAAAGUCUAAUAGUAUUUAUUGACACGACUCAAAAAUGUAUUACUCUCAAGUAUAACAGUGUCUAGUUAUAAUAUAACUCGGUGAGACCGGGGUCGAACCACAGGGAGUUUUAAAUCUAGUAAAACUAAGAAAAUUAAUUACGGGGCAAAGAAAUUAUUUGAAAAUGAUUUAAAAAUAAGCUAAGGCUACAUGAUCCACUCUCAGUAUUCAAACUAUAAUUUUAAUACUCUCUCAUUUUUAGCCUCACUUUUUCCAGUUAAUUAUUAUAUCAUUUAAUUCUCAACUAACUAUGUGUGUGGAUAAAUAUGAAAUAAAGUACCUAAUGUGCCACACUAUAUUAAUGUGUCGACAUUAUGUCAAAAUACCAUACAGAUCCAAAGAAAUUUAUAAAUUAAUAUGAUAUAAAAAUAACUAGAAAAGAAUAAAAUAAACUUUAAACUCAUUUGAGAAAAUAAUAAAUUUAAUAGUUUGAAACAUUGAGCUUCACCCUUCACCUUAGCUUAAUAAAAUUAGCCACUCAUAUUGAAAGAAAAUAGAAUACUUAUUUAUUUAAUAAACUUUUGAAGUACGUUACAAGAAAAUUGAUUACAAACGGAAAAGAGAAAACAAAAGAAAGAAAGAAAGAAAGAAAUUCUUCAGCUGCACUCUAUUCUCUCUCGACUUAAGCUCCUCAAAAAAUAGCUUUUGGCUCUUGGCUCUCUCUUCUCACUGUAUUUCCUUGCCUUUUAUAGGCAAGGAAUUCAUUAUCUUUAUUUAUUUUAUUAUUAUUAUUAUAUAUAUAUAUAUGUACAUUGAAAUGUGUAAUGGUCAAGUGGCCAUCACCAGAAGCCAAACAAUUUGGUUUUUAUUCUUUUGUUCUUUUAUUAUUAUUAUUAUUAUUAUUUUACAUCUCCUCAAUAAUGCUUCUAAAUCGCUCCAGCAGUCUUUCUUUGUUCCCGCUUUCAAUUCCAAUUUAUUCCUGAAAAAUAUUUAUAAGGUAAAAAUUAACAUAUUGCAAAUUAAUUUAACAUAAAAAUUUAUUUGGGGAGCAUUCAUAUAAUUUAUAAGUUAUGCGUGCAUUAAUCAACACUUUAAGUGAAAAAUCAAUAAUUUUAUCCUUAUUACAUGUACACUUUUUAGUGUUAAUCACACCCCCAACCAGCUUAUUGCUAGGCCUUAGCAAUUUAAGCGAUAAAAAUUUAGAGAAAUUUCAAAACCAAAUUGAAAAUCUUUUUUUUUUUAAAAAAAAGAUUGUGUUUACUUCUUUCAUUAGAUUAAUGACAACAAUCAAAUAAAAGUAUAAGUAUUAUCUUUAGCCUAACGAAAAUCACACCUGCUCAAAACAGUUCAAUAAAAUCUUGUAAAAUGAUCAAUCAUCAGAGCUAUAUUAAUCAAGCCACUUUUAAGAAUGAUACAUCAAACUCUAAAAUCUCACGAUUAAGAGUGACUCUCUCGAAAGAAGAUAUACCCCAAAUUAAAUUGUCACUCUAAAAAUAAUGGUAAAUUUGAGAGGAUAAUAAAACAAUAUCACACACUCUCACCAAGAUGAAAAAAAAUAAUGCCCACGACUUAGAAAUUAAAUGAUCUCAAAUCCAAGGAAUUUACUAGCAAAAGUUAUUUUUAUUUUUAUGCAUCACCACAUCUUUUAGUUCAUAUCACCAGCUUUAUUUCAGACUAUAGUUCCCUAAAAUCAAAAAGGAUUUUUAUUAGGACGUAACGUAGGCUAAGGUCAUGGCUAACAAAAAAGGUAAUAGGGAAAACAAAAAAUAUAUGUUUGAAAAAUAUGAGACUUUUUAGAGAUUACAAGGUGCUUUUUUUAUUUUAUUUAUUCAUAUAUACACAUCAUCUUUUUUUUUAAUAGCACUAUUAUUAGGAAUACAUAAUCAUCCUUAUUUUCAAACAUAAUUAGGUGAUGGAAAACAUAAAACAUAAGGUGAUACUCCUCAUUGGAGUAGGAAAAUAUGAUAGGUUACCAAAGAAAAAGUUUUUUUAAAAAAAAGGCUCAAAGGAGUUAACUAUGGAUUAUUUAUAAUAGAAUUGACUAGAAAGGCUCAAACGGAUCAAAAAUAGCCUUUUGUCAUCUUUUAGGGCUCUAUACAAUCUUUCAUAUCCACUAGUCAAUGGACUUUUAGAUGCGGCUGCACAAACUUUUUUUUUAAAGAAAAUAUUGAUAUCUUGUACAAUAAAUUAUGGAGCUGUAUAGGCAAACAAUGUUACUCUCCAAGGAUAAUAGGCUCAAAAACUCGCUUGGUCUUUUCAUAACAUGUACAUUCCUCCAAAUGGCUUAAUCAAUUUCACUCAUCUAAUUUCUCAAUUUACGUUUCAAAAUGCAAAACGGAAAACAUAGUGUAACAUAACUCAAGGUCAAAGAUAAUAUAAAUACUAAAAUUUGAAAAUCGUCAUGUUAUCCAAUGUUAAAAGAUCACACCGAAAAAGAAUUUUUUUUUUUAAAGAAACACUAAAAGAAAUUGAGAUUGAUUGCAGAAACUUAAGGGAGAUGAUUAAGAGAAAAAGAGAAAAAAACAGAAAAUAAAAUGUUAGAAGACAUUUUUUUUAAAACAAAACACUAAACUUUAGAAGAUGUGUUCUAGAGACACUACAUUCUAUAUUCUGCCAUCUUCGACUUAAAGUUUUAUCCAAAGUUAGUCUUUACAACAAAAAUUAGUAAAAACAUCACUAGGACGAAGACAUUCCACAAUUAUCAACUAUUCCCUCCCCUCAACCUGAAAGAGACAUUAUCCUCAAUGUCUAAAGAAAUGAGUAGAGUUUAGAAGAUAUCACCUGGCCACUGCUGGAAAUAUUAACAAACGGAGAGUUAAUUCUAAUUUACACUUUUUUACGAGAGUGACUGCCAUCGUCCUCAGUUGCCCAAUCCAACGCCAAAGUCACGGAAUCUGGCUCUGGUUUGUAAGGUUGCAAAAGAUCAAGUAACUCAUUAGCAGUAGAAGCACAAAUGAAGAGUUUUUUCGCUGAGGAUGGAAUGAAAUUAUUUUUAAUUGCAUGAUUAAGAAAUGUUAUUAAGCCAUCAUAAAAGUUAUUAAUAUUUAACAAACCGAUCAGUUUUUUUAUGGAUAUUCAAAUGGGCCCAAGAAGCAAAGUUGGUGGGUCUGGUAGACAUCCUAAAGGUUUUAAGGCUUUUGGAAUGAUGCCUAACACUUAGCUUCCUCGAACGAAAGCAGCAUCAGAGACAAGCUUUGAUAACCCUCGGUCACUUCAUCCAUAUACAAGAUGUAGUUUCCUCUCUGCUAUAGCACGACUAAGAUCUACAGCUGCCUGAACGAACUCCUUAUACUUUCCAUAGCGAAAUCCAGAAAGCACACAAAUAUUUUUAAGUUGACUGAUUGAAGUUGCUGCCAUUAGAAAAUUUCUAAAAAGAAACAAUUUGUGAAUGCUUGAAAAUGAGCUCCUAUUUAAGGAUCUUGGUGACGGACAUAAUGAUAUACAUCUGUAAAUGGGGUUGUGUGAUUGUCAAAUGACGCGUGAAGCUUUUAGCUUAAUAAUUCAAAGGCAAACAGUGAAAAGAAAAAGCAAACAGUGAUUAGAUAAAAUAAAAAAGAAAAAACACACAAUAAUAAUAAUAAUGCAAAAGAUAAAAGAACAAUAAAAUAAAAGGAUAUUUAUUGGUAGUUGUGAUUGUAGCUCACAUCUUCCUCUGGUUUUACGUCCAGUAACGGCUUGAACGCCCUCUAUGGAUCGAGGAUAGACUUCCCAUCCAGUUUUCUUAUAAACUGGCAAACAAAGUCUUUUAGAGUUAAAUUCCCAAGACUAAACUGUGCACUUUCCUUUUGCAACAGCUUCCACAAAUUUUGAAUUUCACGUUGAACAUAUCCACUCAGAUGCAUCUCAAGAGAUCGUAAGAUAUCAUCCAACGAUUCUUUACUCAUGCCAUCCUUAACGAAUUUGAUUUUCUCUUUACGAUUUACAGAAACCAUUUCUAAAGUUUUACAACGUGGCGUUUUGCAAGCAAGUCUUACACAGUGAGAACAUUCAGAGCCAAGUCGCUUAGCUCUUCUUUUCUUAACAAAUGUACUUUUACCAAAACCAGGCAUGUAGGAAAUGAAUCGAUCAGAAAACUCUCCUGCCAAUCAGACAUUUUACUUCAAUUAACCAACGAAUGUAAGUAGGAAUCCCAUUGAUCAUUAACAAACGCAGUCGUUCACAACGAGUUUUGUAAAUCUUCUUAAGAGCAUUUUGAAGAAGAGAAGGAAAACAUUAAUGCAAAUUUCAUUGUAUUUCUUCCAUGCUUGACAUUGAGGUUUUAGUUAUUGUGGGAAACUGUGAAUACCGACUUAAAAAGUCACGGAGUACCGUUAUCCGCCAUUUAUACGGGAGAGUGAAUCAAAACAAAACGAAUCAAAUCUACAAAAUCAAAUCAAAAGUGAAAAAGAACAACAAAAUAAAACAAAAACACACAAGGAAUAUAACUCACCUUCAUCAUUUUAUUCAAUUUACCUCCAGUUCCAAUUGCAGAUUAUAAAUACCAUCCUCUAUUUCCUUGAGUUGUCUUUCUAGAUCUUUCACGUGUGAUACUAACUCUGGUGGCUGUAGAUCCCAAAUGGGAUGUGAUUUACAAAAUCAGAGUAAUUUCCUCAAGUGAAAUUUUACAUGUAAAAGUAUUUUAAGAUGAUCGAAAAGGAAAUUUCUCAUGGAGGUACUGAUGACAAGUAUAAAAAUUUGGUGAGCUAAAUCACAAUUGUCAAACAACACAAUUAAAACAAUGCAAUGCACUCCAUUCAAGACAUAGGGAAAAGGAAAAAGAAAAAAAAUCAAACAAUUCAAAAGAUAAAGUAACAGUAAAUCAAAUUCACAAAAAGUUAAAAUGAAAAGGAUUAAUUAAAAUUUGGUGGGUCACUCAAAUUGAUUUCAGUAUCUGCUUCAUGUGGUUGGUAUUCCAGAUAUGGUUUCAAUUUUUGGCCAUUAACUUUAAAUGUGACACCAUCCUUUGGAUUCUCAAUUUCUAUGGCUCCAUAUUGAUACUCAUUUUUUGCAACAAAUGGACCAUUUCACUUUGACUUUAACUUCCCUGGAAAUAAAUGAAAACGAGAAUUAUAAAGCAACAUUUUUUGACCAAUUUCAAAUGUUUUCCGAAAAAUUCUUUUGUCAUGAAAAAAUUUGGUUCUUGCUUUAAUAAUUCUAGAAUUCUCAUAUGCAUCAUUCCUUAAUUCCUCAAGUUCAUUUAUUUGCAAUUUACGCACAUUACUAUUAUCAUCAAGAUUUGAAUUAAAAGCUUUAAUGGCCCAAAAUGAUUUACGUUCAAGUUUAAUUGGUAAGUGGCAAGAUUUUCCAUAAACAAGCUGAUAGGGUGACAUUCCUAAAGAUGUUUUAAAAGCAGUACGAUAUGCCCAAAGUGCAUCAAUUAGUCAAAGAGACCAAUCUUUAUAGUUUGGAUUAACUGUCUUUUCUAAAAUUUGUUUUAUCUUCCUAUUUGCUAAUUCAACUUGACCACUUGUUUGAGGGUGAUAAGGGGCAGCAACCUUAUGUGUAAUUCCAUAUUUCUUCAUUAAGGACUCAAAUGGCUUAUUACAAAAAUGCUUACCUCCAUCACUGAUAAUGGCACGAGGUAUUCCAAAUCUGCUUAAACGAUUUUCUUUUAAAAAACGGAUCAUAAUCUUGUGAUCAUUGCCGACAAUAAAUCACCUCGAUCCAUUUUGAAACAUAAUCAACAGCAACCAAAAUGUAUACAAAUCCAAACGAUGAUGGAAAAGGGCCCAUAAAAUCAAUUCCCCAAUAAUCAAAUAUUUCAAUGACAAAGAUGGGGGUUAAAGGCAUCAUGUUUCACUUUGAAAUAGACCCUACCAUUUGACAAUUCUUACACACUUUACAGAAUACAUGUGAAUCUUUAAAUAAUGCAGGCCAAUAAAAUCCACAUAGCAAUAUUUUUACAGCUGUCUUUUUUAAAGAAAAAUGGCCACCGCAUGCUUUAGAAUGACAAAAUUGAAUGACCGUACUUACCUCGUCGUCUGGUAUGCAUCUUCGAAAAAUUUGAUCAGAGCAGUACUUGAACAGGUAUGGAUCAUCCCAGUAAAAGCUUCUCACUUCUGUUAAGAAUUUCUUCUUGUCCUGGGAACUCCAGUCACAUGGCAUUUCACCUAUUGCAAGAUAAUUAACAAUAUUAGCAUACCAAGGUAUUUUGUUUAUAGAAAAUAAAAAUUCAUCAGGGAAAGAAUCAUUGAUGGGUGUUGUUUCAAUUAAAGACUCAUUUGUAAGUCUUGAAAGAUGAUCUGCAACAACAUUUUUAGCGCCCUUUUUGUCCUUGAUUGUUAAAUUAAAUUCUUGAAGUAGCAAAAUCCAUCGUAUCAACCUUGGUUUGGCAUCCUAUUUUGACGUUAAAUAUUUCACAGCAGCAUGAUCAGAAUAAACAACAGUAGAUGAACCAAUUAAAUACGAACGAAAUUUAUCCAAUACAAAUAUUACAGCAAGUAGUUCUUUCUCAAUUGUAGUGUAAUUCAUUUAAGCACUAUUCAAAGUUCUACUUACAUAAUAGAUGAGAAAAGGCUUACCUUCCUUUCUUUGACCCAGAACAGCGCCAACAACAUAAUCACUAGCAUCACACAUUAGCUCAAAAGGUAAAGACCAAUCAGGGGGUUACAUUAUUGGGACUGAUGUCAAAAGGCUAGUUAUCUUUUCAAAAGCUUGUUGACAAUCUUUAGUCCAUUCAAAUUGUGUGUCUUUUAUUAGGAGGUUAUAAAUUGGUCUAGAUAAGGCACUAAAGUCUUUUAUAAACCUCCGAUAAAAUCCUACAUGUCCUAAAAAAGAACAGACCUAAUUGUCUUUGGUGAGGGUAAUUUUGAAAUGACUUCAACUUUGGCUUUAUUAACUUUGAUUCCUUUUGACGACACGACAUGACCCAAGACAAUUCCAGAAGUGGUCAUGAAAUGACAUUUUUCCCAAUUUAAAACUAGUCCUUUUUCUUUGCACAUUUCCAAAACCUUUUCUAGAUUAUCAAAAAAUGUAUCAAAAGAAUUACCAAAUACAGUUAAAUCAUCCAUAAAAACCUCUAGAUAAUUUUUAACCAUGUCACUAAAAAUGCUUAGCAUGCAUAUUUGAAAUGUUGCAGGAGAAUUACAAAGUCCAAAGAGCAUUCUCCUAAAUGCAAAUGUUCCAAAUGGGCAUGUGAAUGUGGUCUUUUAAGGCUAUAGGGAUUUGAUAAUAGCCAGAGUAGCCAUCAAGAAAGCAGUAGUAGGGAUGUCCCGCUACUCUUUCGAGAAUUUGGUCUAGAAAUGGAAGGGAAAAAUGAUCUUUUCUAGUGGCAUCAUUUAAUUUUCUGUAAUCAAUGCGCAUGCGCCAACUAGAUGAAAUUCAUGUUGGGAUUGGUUCACCUUUUUCAUUUUUUACAACAGUUAUUCCAGAUUUCUUUGGUACUACUUGUGUUGGAUUUACCCAUUUACUAUUAGAGAUAUGAUAGAUAAUUCCUACAUCUAGUAGUUUAAAGACCUCAUUCUUUACCACUUCUUUCAUAUGAAGGUUUAAUCUUCUUUGUGGUUGACGGGUUGUUUUGACAUUUACUUCUAAGUGUAUUCGGUGUGUGCAAAUUAAAGGAUUAAUGCCUUUUAUGUCUUUUAAGGUCCAACCAAAUGCAGUUUUAUGCCUUUUUAGUACAGAUAACAACUUACCUUUUUGAUCAUGCGUGAGCUGGGAAGAAAUUACCACUGAAUAUGUCUGUUGUUCUCUAAGAUAGACAUACUUCAAUUCUUCUAGUAAAGGCUUUAAUUCGAGCUCUGGUGCUUCCUCUUCGUUUGGUUCUUCAGGUUGUAUCGUAUCUUCAAAGUUGGAUUGGUCAUCGUCACCUAUAGGUACCUGCAUUGAAUUAAGUGUAGGGCAUAUGUUAGCAGUAUCACAAUCUAAUUCCUUACUUGAUUCAAAAGAACCAGUAAAAAUAAAUUUCCACAGAGUUUGUAAAAUUCUCAUCCUGAAUGUGUUCCUCAAUGAUUGGCUCGAUGAGAUCAAUCUCCUUAUUCUCAUUAUCAUCAUCUUCUUGGUGGUGAGGUUGUUUACACAUGUUGAACAUAUUGAGUUCCAGUGUUACGUUGCCGAAAGAUAAAUUCAUUAAUAUAUUCCUGUAAUUUAUCAAAGCAUUAGCUGUAGCUAAAAAUGAUCGACCCAAUAGAACAUGAAUUUGUUUGCAUUCAUUAGCAAUUGGUUCUGUUUCCAAAAUAAUAAAAUCCACAGGAUAUAUGAAUUUAUCAACCUGGACUAAUACAUCUUCAAUUAUUCCUUUUGGAACCUUAAUCGAUCUAUCAACAAGUAAAAGAGUGGUAGAAGUUAGUUUUAACUCACCGAGAUUGAGUUGUUGGUAUACUUAGUAAGGAAGCAAAUUAACACUAGCACCAAGAUCAAGUAGAGCAUGUCCAAUUUUAUGAUCCCCAAUAGUGCAAGAAAUAGUUGGACAAUCAGGAUCCUUGUAUUUCAAAGCACUAUUGGUUGAGAGAAUGGAACUUACCUGUUCUACUAGAAAAGCUCUCUUUUGCAUCUUAUGUUUCCUUUUCACCGUGCACAGAUCUUUCAGAAAUUUAGCAUAAGAAGGUAUCUGUUUAAUGACAUCCAGUAGAGGGAUGUUGACCUUUACUUGUUUAAAAACUUCAUAAAUUUCUGGACUGUGAUUUGAUUUCUUUGGCUUGAUUAGUGCUUGAGGAAAUGGGGGUAUAGGAGGAGAGUUGGUUAUUUCUUCAUGGGUUAAAGGUUCGAUAGACUCUUCUGAAAUACUAACUAGGCAACCCAAGAGGGGGGUGAAUUGGGAUUUUAAAAAUUAUCCUAGGCAAACCACACAACAAUUUAAUCUAAUGCCUUAAUAAAUUCGAAAACAAUAAAUUCAAUCAAGCACAAUAUUAAAAGAGUAAGGGAAGAGAAAACGAACACAAGGAUUUUUACGUGGUUCGGCUAUCCCUGCCUACGUCCAUGCCUCCAAGCACACCGGGCUUGAGGAUUUCACUAAGCUAGCCUCCCAAGGCUUCAACCGCUUACAAUUGACUUCCAAGGUGUCAAUGGACCUUUACAACAAGAGAUUAUCCCCAAUCUCUUAACUCAAGUGUAUCCCAACACUUACAAUCUUUUAACUUGAUUUUACAAAAAAGAUUACAAAUGAAUCUCUCAUACACAAUGUGUUUGAUCACAAGUGAAAGCUCAAUGUGUGAAUGAAUGAGAUGAAUACAAAGAUUUAAAGCUCAAUAAAAGUUGUAUUCUCAAUAUUUUGCUCAAUGAUGAUCGUUGGAAUUCUUUUGUUUGAAUUGGAUUGAGCAUAUUUAUAGUUGGAGCUGAAAAACUAGCCGUUAUAGAUUGUCUGCACGAAAACGGUUCGCCGUUAACCAUUAACGGUUAACCGUUUAGGCCGGUCAAAGUUACCGUUGGGCCAAUUUUCAAAUAAACGGUUAGCCGUUUAGGCUUACCCUUUCGCCGUUAAUUUCCAGAGACCUGCAAAACAAAUUUGGUUUAACCGUUCUUACUAAACGGUUCAAGGUUAGCAAUCUGGAAAUAAUCGGUUAACCGUUUUCAGUAAACGGUUCACCGUUAGUUUCCAGAAUCAUCAUUUUAACAAUACUUUGCAGAACAUGCUUUCUGGAAAUUAUCGGUUAACCGUUUUAAAUAAACGGUUAGCCGUUUGCUACAGUAACCUGCACAGUGCACUAUUUUCUAAAAUUACAGUUUGACCCCAAAACUUUAUAAAAUUGUAUUACGGCCCAAAACGUUAUAAAACUUUGCAAAUAGGUCCAAUUUCAGAAUUUAUAAGUAAUGCUUUGUUAAUCUCAAAACUUUCUGAAAUUAUGAUAUAGCCCAAAAUGCUAUGACACUUUUCAAAUAAGUCAUUCUCCAAAAUUUCAAGCAAUACUUAUUUAUUUCAAAGUUUCAAAUUUCUUUCAAUUAAACCAUAAACUUUGAAAAACAACCAAUUUCAUAAAAUCAUUUUUCCAUUAAAUAUGAAACAUUUAUAAUGUGAAAAUAAUGAUUUAUUAUUUAAAAAGAAUAAAAACAAUCAAUUUCAUAAAAUCAUUUUUCCAUUAAAUACAAAACAUUUAUAAUGUGAAAAUAAUGAUUUAUUUAAAAAGAAUAUUAAAUAAUUUGAGCUUAAAAGAUUAAUCAUUCUUAAACUUAUUUGUUAUCAUCAAAAUCAAUAUUAUGGAAACAUAUAUGUUAACAUCUUCCUUAUUUUCUGAAAUUGAAUCUUUACUAGUUUCACGAGAGUCCACAAUGUGUUUUUCGACCACUUUACCACCACGAAGGGUUGUAACUGAUUUGACUUUACUCAUGUUUUGGUUUCUUGAAUUUUUCAUUUGAGGAUGUUGUUGACUCUUGGGGUUUGGUUCAAGUUGAGCAGGAAACUUUCCUUUUUUCAUGCAUGGUUAGAGUAGAUGUAAGUUUGAAGACAGUUUCUGUCAAAUUGGUUAAGGUUUGCAUCGUUUGGUUAUUGAUUGACUUUUGUUUUUCAAUAAACGAAUGCAAUGUGUCUUCCUGAGUUUUUCUUGGUGGUGGGACAUAUGGUUGGUAACUCUGGGAAUUUUGAAAAUUUUGACGUAGAGGAACUGGUUGUGAGAGUUGUGCAUGAUUGUCAUUUCUCCAACUGAAAUUUGAGUGGUUUCUCCAACCAGAGUUGCAAGUUUGGGAGUAUGGAUUUGGAUUUGGCCUUUUGAAAUUGUCAACGACAUUUACUUGUUCAUGCAAACUUUCUCUCAGAGCUGGCAAAGUUGGACAGUCCUGCGUAGAAUGGUCAGUAGAAUCACAAACAUAACAUGAAAUAUUUUGAACAGACUUUACAUGAUCAUUCUUUUUCAACUCUAAUGCUUCGAAUUUUCUAGCUAAUGAUGUAAAUUUGGCUUGAAAAUCAUGGUCUUCCCUAAGGUUAUGCAUGCCUCCACCAGAUGGAAAUGGCUGGGGUUUACUUGAUAACUCAUAAAACCCAACUGUAUCACAGUGUUGUGCAUUCUCUGCUAUGUAGUCAAGAUACUCUAAUGCAUCUUCAGGACUUUUAUCCCUAACUCACCAUUACACAUCAUUUCUACUACCUGUCUACCUUGGGAUGUUAAUCCCUCGUAGAAAUAAGACAUUAAUCUCCAUGUUUCAAAACCGUGGUGUGGGCAAAUGUUAAGUAAUUCUUUAAAUCUAUCCCAACAUUGAUAGAGGGUUUCUCCUGGUUUUUUAGUGAAUGUGGUGAUUUGUCUUUUAAAAGAAUUUGUUUUGUGGGGUGGAAAGAAUUUUUUCAAAAAUUGUGCUUGCAUUUCAUCCCAAGUUCGGAUGGAUUCUGACCUAAGAUUUUGUAGCCAAGUUUUAGCUUUAUCCUUUAGUGAGAAAGGAAAAAACUUAAGCCUGAUUAUAUUCAUGCUACAAUUUUGAUCGGUACAUGUGUUACAGACUUCCUAAAAUUCCCUUAAAUGCAAAUAUGGAUUUUCAAAAUCAAAACCAAGAAAAGUAGGCAAAAGUUGAAUGAUAUCAGGCUUGAAAUUAAAAUGUGAUGAAUCAGGAGGAAAAACUAUGAAUGAUGGUGACCCUGUUCUAGUAGGAUGCAUGAAGUCUCUAAGGGUCCUAGGCUGUUCAUGAAGAUUUUGCAAGGCUUGGUCAUUUUCGUGCUCUGAAAAAUUUUCAGCUCAUAUAUCAGCCAUAUUUAAUUGUGGUGAAGGUGAUCUUCUAAUUAAUCUGCCACUAUUUAUAAGAGAUCAACAACGCAUGCAAUGCUAAUGAUGUGUGCUAAACCAAUGAUGCAUAAAACACUAAAUGAAAAAUUGCAAAAAUGAAAAUAAAUUGGAAUUUAAAUAAGUAAAAAAUGCGAAAUAAAAAUAAACAAACUGAAGAUAAAUAAAAUAAAUAAAUUAGGCGGUGAAACCAGCCAUAAACAAAGGAAUUAAAAGAAACAGUUUAGGAAGUAUUUUAAAACCAGCCAUAUAAUAAAACAUAAAAUUAAAUAAAUUAAUGCACAAAAAUAAAUAAACUGAAAUUAAAAUGUUAGGCGGUAGAACUGACCAUAUAAAAAAAAUACAUAAAUUAACAAAAUUUAAAUGACAGUCAGGCAGUAGAACCGACCAUUUAAAAUAAAUACGGAAAGUAAAUUGCAGAAAUUAAAAGAAAUAAAUUUGAUUGGGGACUGAUUUGCAAAGGUUUCUUGGCUAAGAUGAAGUUUCUCAUAAAUUUUAUGAAUAAUGUUAAGGUUUGAAAAGAAGAGGGGUGCUAAUUGAAGUUUUACAAAAAGAGAAUAAAAUAGAAUCACAGAAAGAUGGUAACGACAAAAUAAAAAUAAAGUAAAGACAAACUAAUACCAAAUUUAGAAAACUCCCUAGUAACGGCGCCAAAAACUUGACACGACUCAAAAGUGUAUUACUCUCAAAUAUAAGAGUGUCUAGUUAUAAUAUAACCCGGUGAGACCGGGGUUUAACCACAAGGAGUUUUAAAUAUGGUAAAACUAAGAAAAUUAAUUGAGGGGCAAAGAAAUUAUUUGAAAUUGAUUUUAAAAUAAGCUAAGGUUACGAGAUCCACUCUCAGUAUUCAAACUAUAAUUUUAAUACUCUCUCAUUUUUAGCCUUACUUUUUCCAGUUAAUUAUUAUAUCAUUUAAUUCUCAACUAACUAUGUGUGUGGAUAAAUAUGAAAUAAAGUACCUAAUGUGCCACACUAUAUUAAUGUGUCGACAUUAUGUCAAAAUACUAUACAUAUCCAAAGAAAUUUAUAAAUUAAUAUGACAUAAAAAUAACUAGAAAAGAAUAAAAUAAACUUUAAACUCAUUUGAGAAAAUAAUGAAUUUAAUAGUUUGAAACAUUGAGCUUCACCCUUCACCUCAGCUUAAUAAAAUUAGCCACUCAUAUUGAAAGAAAACACAACACUCUAUUUAUUUGAUAAACUUUUGAAAUACUUUACAAGAAAGUUUAUUACAAACGAAAACAAGAAAAGAAAAGAAAUAAAGAAAGAAAAAAAGAAAUUCUUCAGCUGCACUCUAUUCUCUCUCGGCUUAAGCUCCUCAAAAAUAGCUUCUGGCUCUCGGCUCUCUCUUCUCACUACAUUUCCUUGCCUUUUAUAGGCAAGGAAUUCAUUAUCUUUAUUU
rnacentral:lncRNA from 1 species